GGGUUGUGAGGUUAAGCGACUAAGCGUACACGGUGGAUGCCCUGGCAGUCAGAGGCGAUGAAGGACGUGCUAAUCUGCGAUAAGCGUCGGUAAGGUGAUAUGAACCGUUAUAACCGGCGAUUUCCGAAUGGGGAAACCCAGUGUGUUUCGACACACUAUCAUUAACUGAAUCCAUAGGUUAAUGAGGCGAACCGGGGGAACUGAAACAUCUAAGUACCCCGAGGAAAAGAAAUCAACCGAGAUUCCCCCAGUAGCGGCGAGCGAACGGGGAGCAGCCCAGAGCCUGAAUCAGUGUGUGUGUUAGUGGAAGCGUCUGGAAAGGCGCGCGAUACAGGGUGACAGCCCCGUACACAAAAAUGCACAUACUGUGAGCUCGAUGAGUAGGGCGGGACACGUGGUAUCCUGUCUGAAUAUGGGGGGACCAUCCUCCAAGGCUAAAUACUCCUGACUGACCGAUAGUGAACCAGUACCGUGAGGGAAAGGCGAAAAGAACCCCGGCGAGGGGAGUGAAAAAGAACCUGAAACCGUGUACGUACAAGCAGUGGGAGCACGCUUAGGCGUGUGACUGCGUACCUUUUGUAUAAUGGGUCAGCGACUUAUAUUCUGUAGCAAGGUUAACCGAAUAGGGGAGCCGAAGGGAAACCGAGUCUUAACUGGGCGUUAAGUUGCAGGGUAUAGACCCGAAACCCGGUGAUCUAGCCAUGGGCAGGUUGAAGGUUGGGUAACACUAACUGGAGGACCGAACCGACUAAUGUUGAAAAAUUAGCGGAUGACUUGUGGCUGGGGGUGAAAGGCCAAUCAAACCGGGAGAUAGCUGGUUCUCCCCGAAAGCUAUUUAGGUAGCGCCUCGUGAAUUCAUCUCCGGGGGUAGAGCACUGUUUCGGCAAGGGGGUCAUCCCGACUUACCAACCCGAUGCAAACUGCGAAUACCGGAGAAUGUUAUCACGGGAGACACACGGCGGGUGCUAACGUCCGUCGUGAAGAGGGAAACAACCCAGACCGCCAGCUAAGGUCCCAAAGUCAUGGUUAAGUGGGAAACGAUGUGGGAAGGCCCAGACAGCCAGGAUGUUGGCUUAGAAGCAGCCAUCAUUUAAAGAAAGCGUAAUAGCUCACUGGUCGAGUCGGCCUGCGCGGAAGAUGUAACGGGGCUAAACCAUGCACCGAAGCUGCGGCAGCGACGCUUAUGCGUUGUUGGGUAGGGGAGCGUUCUGUAAGCCUGCGAAGGUGUGCUGUGAGGCAUGCUGGAGGUAUCAGAAGUGCGAAUGCUGACAUAAGUAACGAUAAAGCGGGUGAAAAGCCCGCUCGCCGGAAGACCAAGGGUUCCUGUCCAACGUUAAUCGGGGCAGGGUGAGUCGACCCCUAAGGCGAGGCCGAAAGGCGUAGUCGAUGGGAAACAGGUUAAUAUUCCUGUACUUGGUGUUACUGCGAAGGGGGGACGGAGAAGGCUAUGUUGGCCGGGCGACGGUUGUCCCGGUUUAAGCGUGUAGGCUGGUUUUCCAGGCAAAUCCGGAAAAUCAAGGCUGAGGCGUGAUGACGAGGCACUACGGUGCUGAAGCAACAAAUGCCCUGCUUCCAGGAAAAGCCUCUAAGCAUCAGGUAACAUCAAAUCGUACCCCAAACCGACACAGGUGGUCAGGUAGAGAAUACCAAGGCGCUUGAGAGAACUCGGGUGAAGGAACUAGGCAAAAUGGUGCCGUAACUUCGGGAGAAGGCACGCUGAUAUGUAGGUGAAGUCCCUCGCGGAUGGAGCUGAAAUCAGUCGAAGAUACCAGCUGGCUGCAACUGUUUAUUAAAAACACAGCACUGUGCAAACACGAAAGUGGACGUAUACGGUGUGACGCCUGCCCGGUGCCGGAAGGUUAAUUGAUGGGGUCAGCGCAAGCGAAGCUCUUGAUCGAAGCCCCGGUAAACGGCGGCCGUAACUAUAACGGUCCUAAGGUAGCGAAAUUCCUUGUCGGGUAAGUUCCGACCUGCACGAAUGGCGUAAUGAUGGCCAGGCUGUCUCCACCCGAGACUCAGUGAAAUUGAACUCGCUGUGAAGAUGCAGUGUACCCGCGGCAAGACGGAAAGACCCCGUGAACCUUUACUAUAGCUUGACACUGAACAUUGAGCCUUGAUGUGUAGGAUAGGUGGGAGGCUUUGAAGUGUGGACGCCAGUCUGCAUGGAGCCGACCUUGAAAUACCACCCUUUAAUGUUUGAUGUUCUAACGUUGACCCGUAAUCCGGGUUGCGGACAGUGUCUGGUGGGUAGUUUGACUGGGGCGGUCUCCUCCUAAAGAGUAACGGAGGAGCACGAAGGUUGGCUAAUCCUGGUCGGACAUCAGGAGGUUAGUGCAAUGGCAUAAGCCAGCUUGACUGCGAGCGUGACGGCGCGAGCAGGUGCGAAAGCAGGUCAUAGUGAUCCGGUGGUUCUGAAUGGAAGGGCCAUCGCUCAACGGAUAAAAGGUACUCCGGGGAUAACAGGCUGAUACCGCCCAAGAGUUCAUAUCGACGGCGGUGUUUGGCACCUCGAUGUCGGCUCAUCACAUCCUGGGGCUGAAGUAGGUCCCAAGGGUAUGGCUGUUCGCCAUUUAAAGUGGUACGCGAGCUGGGUUUAGAACGUCGUGAGACAGUUCGGUCCCUAUCUGCCGUGGGCGCUGGAGAACUGAGGGGGGCUGCUCCUAGUACGAGAGGACCGGAGUGGACGCAUCACUGGUGUUCGGGUUGUCAUGCCAAUGGCACUGCCCGGUAGCUAAAUGCGGAAGAGAUAAGUGCUGAAAGCAUCUAAGCACGAAACUUGCCCCGAGAUGAGUUCUCCCUGACUCCUUGAGAGUCCUGAAGGAACGUUGAAGACGACGACGUUGAUAGGCCGGGUGUGUAAGCGCAGCGAUGCGUUGAGCUAACCGGUACUAAUGAACCGUGAGGCUUAACCUUACAACGCCGAAG
rnacentral:rRNA from 1 species